UACGUAUGGUGCAAGCGUUAUCCGGAUUUACUGGGUGUAAAGGGAGCGUAGGCGGCGCGUUAAGUCUGACGUGAAAACCCGAGGCUCAACCACGGGAGUGCAUUGGAAACUGGCGGGCUGGAGUGCCGGAGAGGUAAGCGGAAUUCCUAGUGUAGCGGUGAAAUGCGUAGAUAUUAGGAGGAACACCAGUGGCGAAGGCGGCUUACUGGACGGCAACUGACGCUGAGGCUCGAAAGCGUGGGGAGCAAACAGG
rnacentral:rRNA from 1 species